UGCAACACUUGGGUAGUGUUGGUUGCGAAAAGGGCGGGCAGAAAUAGUUUACGUUAUAUUCGUGUGCGUGUGUUACGAAUGUUUGCAAACAUUAUACAAACAUGUUGUUAAGAACAAAAAGAUAACGUUGCAAUGUUUUAAUUAGCUGCUGUAACAGAAGUCUGCGCAUGUAGUUAUGAAUUUGUCAACACUGUGUUCCUUGUAGUCGAAAGUAGAACACUCAAAACUUGUUGCAGAACUUCUGUCAGAACAGAUUAAGUACGUGGGGGUGUGGCAACGGUGCAUUGCCUGAAGACUGCUGAAGAUCGUUCAAGAUGAGACUCCAGUGGGAGUGGUGGUGUAUUUCGUGCCUGUGUUUGUUGGUGGCGUUUCUGUCAUUCGGACUUUGUCGACAGCCGCCGGUGUACAUGAAUCAAUUUGCUGUGUAUAUACCAAGUGGCCAGGAUGCGGCAGAUGGCGUUGCAAGAAAGUACGGAUUCAGGAACCUCGGACAGAUCGGCAGCCUCCAGGGCUAUUACUUGUUCGAGCACCAGCGUGUCCACAAGAGAUCUUUGUCUGCCAGCAACGAACACCAUUCCGCUCUCAGCUCCGAACCACAGGUCAGUGUUCGGUGACGUACA